CCGACCUUAGCUCAGUUGGUAGAGCGGAGGACUGUAGUGGAAACAACAACGAUAGCUAUCCUUUAGGUCGCUGGUUCGAAUCCGGCAGGUCGGA